AUAAAUAAGAUCUAUACUUAGAUGCUUACUGUAAAACCGAAAUGAUAUAUGGUUUUAAUUAGUGUUUUCUGCUAACCCGGUGGCUGCG